UACGUAGGGUGCAAGCGUUGUCCGGAAUUAUUGGGCGUAAAGAGCUCGUAGGCGGUCUGUCGCGUCGGCUGUGAAAUCCCGGGGCUCAACCCCGGGCGUGCAGUGGAUACGGGCUGGCUGGAGGCAGGCAGGGGAGAACGGAAUUCCCGGUGUAGCGGUGAAAUGCGCAGAUAUCGGGAGGAACACCGGUGGCGAAGGCGGUUCUCUGGGCCUGUACUGACGCUGAGGAGCGAAAGCGUGGGGAGCGAACAGG
rnacentral:rRNA from 1 species